AGCAGCCGCGGUAAUUCCAGCUCCAAUAGCGUAUAUUAAAGUUGUUGCAGUUAAAAAGCUCGUAGUCGAACCUCGGGGUCUACCCAUUGGUCAGGCUUAAUUGUCUGCACUGGUGAGAUGGAUCUCUACCUUCUGAGGAACUUUCAUGCCAUUUAUUUGGUGUGAUGGGAAAUCAGGACUGUUACUUUGAAAAAAUUAGAGUGUUUAAAGCAGACUAUCGUCUGAAUACAUUAGCAUGGAAUAAUGAAAUAGGACGGACUGAUUCUAUUUCGUUGGUUUCUAGGAUCACCGUAAUGAUUAAUAGGGAUAGUUGGGGGCAUUAGUAUUCAAUUGUCAGAGGUGAAAUUCUUGGAUUUAUUGAAGACUAACUACUGCGAAAGCAUUUGCCAAGGAUGUUUUCAUUAAUCAAGAACGAAAGUUAGGGGAUCGAAGACGAUCAGAUACCGUCGUAGUCUUAACCAUAAACUAUGCCGACUAGGGAUCGGACGAAGUUAAUUUUAUAAUGACGCGU
rnacentral:rRNA from 1 species